UAUUAACUCUUGCGGCGUGCCUAAUACAUGCAAGUCGAACGCACAGCGAAAGGUGCUUGCACCUUUCAAGUGAGUGGCGAACGGGUGAGUAACACGUGGACAACCUGCCUCAAGGCUGGGGAUAACAUUUGGAAACAGAUGCUAAUACCGAAUAAAACUUAGUGUCGCAUGACACAAAGUUAAAAGGCGCUUCGGCGUCACCUAGAGAUGGAUCCGCGGUGCAUUAGUUAGUUGGUGGGGUAAAGGCCUACCAAGACAAUGAUGCAUAGCCGAGUUGAGAGACUGAUCGGCCACAUUGGGACUGAGACACGGCCCAAACUCCUACGGGAGGCUGCAGUAGGGAAUCUUCCACAAUGGGCGAAAGCCUGAUGGAGCAACGCCGCGUGUGUGAUGAAGGCUUUCGGGUCGUAAAGCACUGUUGUAUGGGAAGAACAGCUAGAAUAGGAAAUGAUUUUAGUUUGACGGUACCAUACCAGAAAGGGACGGCUAAAUACGUG
rnacentral:rRNA from 1 species